rnacentral:rRNA from 1 species
UACGAAGGGGGCUAGCGUUGUUCGGAAUUACUGGGCGUAAAGCGCACGUAGGCGGACAUUUAAGUCAGGGGUGAAAUCCCAGAGCUCAACUCUGGAACUGCCUUUGAUACUGGGUGUCUUGAGUAUGGAAGAGGUGAGUGGAAUUCCGAGUGUAGAGGUGAAAUUCGUAGAUAUUCGGAGGAACACCAGUGGCGAAGGCGGCGAUCUGGGCAGAUACUGACGCUGAGGUGCGAAAGCGUGGGGAGCAAACAGG